rnacentral:rRNA from 1 species
AUGUACUCCGGCGACGCGUCGACCAGCGAGGAUCCGCGGGCGUGCCGGGGGCCGUCGAGGCGCCGGCUGCGGAGCCGCGUGACCGCCGUCCGGGCGCCGCCGCUUGCCGACGUGCUGCGGGAGCGCGCGCUGGUGCACCUCCCGCCCGCGGCCGCCGCGCGCCUCCGCCUCGUGCACCCGUCCUGGGAGCGCCGGCUCGCGUCCCCGCUCUUCGCCGUGGCGCACGCGGCCGCCCCGCGCCGGAUGUCCGGCCUCUUCGUCCCCAAGGCAGGCUUCCUCCCGUUCGACGGGCCCGACGACGCUGUGCCGUCCCAGACGCUCGCCUUUGCCCCGGCCUCGGAGGAGGUCACCGUGCUCUCGUCGUCGCACGGGGUCGCGUGCUGCUACUCGCCCGCCGACGACGCGUUCUUCGUGUGCAACCCGGCCACCGCGUCCUGGGCGCCCGUCCCGUCCCCGCCGUGCCGCACCUGGCCGCGCCCCGCGAUCGUCGUCCUCUUCGACGCCACGCCGUACAACUUCCGCGGCGACUACGCGCUCGUCUGCGCCGCUGAGUGCGCGCCGGGCUCCGGCGCCUAC